GAAAAAAAACUCGUACCCCUAAAAAAACUCGUCUCAGCCCUUUUCCAAAUUGUUCCCCAAAUCGAACAUCACCACGAUCUCCACCGCCGCCGCCGCCAACCACCCAUCGGAGCGUUGGCUUCAUCCCCACCACCGUCGCACCCUAGCACCCUCCUCAGCCGCCGCAUAGCAACCUCCUUAUCCGCCGGCGAGCAACCUUUGUCGCUUCCUCCUCGACCUCCGCCGCACCGAGCGCCGACUUCCUUCCCCGGCCAACCAACGUCGCCGCUCCCAAACACCCUCCGCCGCACCCGCAGCGCUGCCUCCCGGUGCUUUCUCUCUGGGUAGCACCGCGGCCUAGCACCCCGGCCAUCGUCGACUUGCUCACUUCGUCAAGCAGCGCCGCCUCCUGCAGGAGCUCCCCAGCCAGCAGCACCUCCUCCUCCACGAGCCUCCUCUACGAACUAGUCCUGCACCAAAUUGGUUCAUUCAUGCUUGAAGUGAAUACAUGAGGAGCUGAUGUUUACUUGUAUCUCUUGGGAGUCUAUCUGUACCUUUACUUGUUGGAGUCUUGGGGAGCACUCAGUGGUGUGGUUUAUCUUUUGCUUAUGGGUCUGCAACAACUGGUAUUCCUAGAUUUUUAUUUCUUAAAUUAAUAAAAAAAAGCAGCGCUGGAUUCAGCCAGUUCCAUGAUUUUUUUGUACUUUCGUCUGUUCUAAUUUUCUCCAGUAGUUAGGUCUAUGUCAAAAUGUGUCAUUUUAGCUUGGAUGAUAGAAUAUAUAACGUGCAAAAUUAUAGUCACGCUGUUCUACCUUUCUCCUGUAGUUUAGUUACUUUUUUUUGGAAUCUACAGGUGCAAUAAUUUUGCUCUACAAUAAGACUGUCAUUUUCUUGAUGAUAAUUAGAACAUUUUGGAUGCUCGUUGUUUAUUUUUUGCAUCCAAGUUUGGUAGUAGUGUUAGAGUGUGUGGCGUAGUUUCUGAUGUUUUGAGGGUACCCCUAAAGGGGGACUAACCUGAGACAUGUGGUUGUGUUCUAUUAGUUUUCAGUAAUGGAAAUUGGGAGCUAUCCUCCUAAGUAGAAAAAAUGGAAAAAUGGGUCAUGAGUCUAGCGGAGUACCAUGCUCUUUUGUUCUAUAUGUAAUCCUUACAAAAAGUUCUCUAAUUUUCACUUGGUGCUUUCACUGAAAUAAACUUUUUGGAUUGUUUGUUCUGUGAGCAGCGUGCAUCUUCUUUUUCCUCUCCACCAAGAAGUGUCAACUACGCCAUACAACUUGGAGUGAAUCCUAAGUUCAUCGUAGAACCAGCAACAUGAGUACACGACCGCAAGCAAAACUGAGGAGUGGUUACAGGUUGGUCUUUACUUGCAAUCUAAUUUGCAUGUUGGUUGCUGUUCUUCAGGAAUCACGGUACUAAUCUGUGACUAGAUUGGUAAAAGAGGUUGAAAAUGUUUCUGCAAGACUGGUUAAGACAACUUGCUGUAACCAUAUGCGUUGAGCUCACACAGAAGACCUUACAAGCUUUACUCUUUGUGUUUGUUACAUUUUGUAUUGCUCGAAUGUCUAGAAAUUGCAGAUGCUAAAUUAUGAGGAAAUCUUCAUGUGUAAUCAAUUAAUUGCAUACAUUGUAAAAUGUUUGAUGACCAGACUUUUUAAUAUAUAUGUGAAGUGCA